rnacentral:lncRNA from 12 species
UUCAGGAUCAGUGAAAAGGUAUUAGCAAGUUUGCUCAGAGCAUGAAGAUGGUUUUCAUCCUCAUACUAAGCAGAAACACAAAAGCAGACCUCCAUCCUGUGUACCUGCCCACACCUGCAGAAAACCCCAAAAUGAAACCAGUUGAUGAGUUCAAAUGGUGUUGCUGAUAGAGAACAAUUUCAUAAACUACAAAACACUCCACCUGUGCUUGCACUCUUGUAAUUAAUUCUGUGAUGGGCAUCUGUAUGGCCAAAGCCUUCUGAACAGACUCCUCACAGCCUCUUCCAAAUCCGUCAACACUCCGUAGUUGGAGGGAACCUGGCUUUGGCUCAUCUACCAGGAGCGCUCCUCCCCACCCUCCACUUAAAG